UACGUAGGGUGCAAGCGUCGUCCGGAAUUAUUGGGCGUAAAGAGCGUGUAGGCAGCCAGGUAGGUCAGCUGUGAAAACUCGAGGCUCAACCUCGAGACGUCGGUUGAAACCACCUGGCUAGAGUCCGGAAGAGGAGAGUGGAAUUCCUGGUGUAGCGGUGGAAUGCGCAGAUAUCAGGAAGAACACCCGUGGCGAAGGCGGCUCUCUGGGCCACUACUGACGCUGAGAAGCGAAAGCAUGGGGAGCGAACAGG
rnacentral:rRNA from 1 species